AGCUCCAAUAGCGUAUAUUAAAGUUGUUGCGGUUAAAAAGCUCGUAGUUGGAUUUCUGUCGAGGACGGGCGGUCCGCACUAUGUGCGUGUAUCUGUUACGGCCUUGGCAUCCUCUUGGGGAACGGUUCUGUGCUUGAUUGCAUGGCCCGGUAUUCAAGACUUUUACUUUGAGGAAAUUAGAGUGUUCACGGCAAGCAUAAGCUUUGAAUACAUUAGCAUGGAAUAAUAAUAUAGGACCUGUUUUCUAUUUUGUUGGUUUCUAGGAGAUAGGUAAUGGUUAAUAGGGAUAAUUGGGGGCAUUCGUAUUAAGG
rnacentral:rRNA from 1 species